rnacentral:rRNA from 1 species
AUUGAACGCUGGCGGCAGGCUUAACACAUGCAAGUCGAACGAGUGGCGGACGGGUGAGUAAUGCCUGGGAAACUGCCUGAUGGAGGGGGAUAACUACCGGAAACGGUAGCUAAUACCGCAUACCAUCAGAUGUGCCCAGAUGGGAUUAGGUUGUUGGUGAGGUAACGGCUAACCAAGCCGACGACCCCUAGCUGGUCUGAGAGGAUGACCAGCCACACUGGAACUGAGACACGGUCCAGACUCCUACGGGAGGCAGCAGUGGGGAAUAUUGCACAAUGGGCGCAAGCCUGAUGCAGCCGUGCCGCGUGUAUGAAGAAGGCAUUCGGGUUGUAAAGUACUUUCGGCGGGGAGGCGUUGCCCACAGAAGAAGCACCGGCUGACUCCGUGCCAGCAGCCGCGAUAAUGC